UAAUGUAUUAUGGACUAGAUAAAUUUAUGU
rnacentral:piRNA from 1 species